rnacentral:tRNA from 1 species
GGCGGUGUGGCUGAGUGGUUAGGCGCCGGGUUGCAGCCCCGGUUACCUCGGUUCGAGUCCGAGUUCCGCUU